UCUGCUUUUUUUUUUUAAAGUAUAAAACCAUUAUUGGUAAAUAACAGAUACACCACCUACAUGUAACUUCAUAAAACACUUUAUGAGAAUGUUACAUCGGUAUAGUGAAUUUAAAAAAAUACUUCAAAUUCAGAUAUAAACGUUAUGUAAUAUUUGUUCGGAAUAGAAAUAUUUUUUUUCUGCCAAACAAAGAAAACAAAAAGACCAGUCUGCAUAUUGUAUAUAUAUAAUAUUUUUUCCCGUGAUCCGGAUCGCGGCCGCGGGGUUUUCUGAAAGUGUGCACGGGUAGCACACGUGCUUCAAUGAAAACAACACAACAAACGCUUGUAAUGUAUUCUACAUCUUGAAAACGACCUGAUGUCAGAUGAAGAAGUCUGAAGAUGUCCUGGAUAUCCUAUUGCAGGAUGACCCAAACGAUCAUGCAUUCAGUAUAAACAUGUAAGUUGAUGUAGCCACAUAGGCCGACUAGGAAAAAAGAACGUUCGUGGUUAUGUCAUAUCUACGUGUUAUGAAAAAUUAACGAUUAAUAUAUUAACCACAAUUUGAUGCCAUAAUUUGUAGUUUCAUGAAAGAAAAUAUUUAUAUUUUAUGAUAUCUAAACCAAGUGUAUAACACCCAAGUGUUUAUUAAGAGCUGAACAUACUGACAUCAAUUAAUCUGUCCUGCCCCGGCAUUAAUCAGUUUGAUCCCCCCCCCCCUUUUUUGAUAUCUCCUCACCUGACGCACGAGUGUAAGAAGAGGGUGGAUUUAGUGUACGAUGAGAAAAGGGUGGGAUGGUUUUAAUCAGACUGGGCAUUCAUGACCAUUGGUGAGGAGGCUAUUUUCCAAGAUUUUUCUAUGUUUAUAAAAAAAACUUAUCUUUCUAUGAAAGGAAAACACAAGCUGUUAGGAAAGCAUAUAUUAUACAUUAUUCUAUUAUCGUAAUAAUAAAAUUUAUAACCGUAAUUUGAGUUUUUUCUUCAUAUUGUAACAGAAAUAAAAACAAAAUGUGUGUUUGGGACAAAAUGUGGGGGAUGGGUGGGGUUGGUAUCAUCAAUCAAAAUCUGGUUAUGACAGGUUAUUGAAAAAUCAUUUAUAUAUGAUCCAAAAAUGCUGGUGUGCUAUGAGCUGACGGGCAUGUGUCCACUUCUUGCCUACAUUUUCUCUAAUUUCGACUAAAUCCACACCCCAUCAGAGUACCAUGCCAGGGGAUUUAGAACCAAUUCAAUUCUUCUUUAAAUCUUGGGCCAUUCAAUUUCCCUCAGAGGCACAAUAUUUUCGCUACCACUGUGUGUUUUAACCUGAAUUUCUUCAGUAUUUGCUCCCAUGUAUGUGUUGGGCAUAGUGCUAACACCUCCAUGAUGCAUGUUUUAUUUUCAAUACGCACUCUGCUACACUCGCAAUGUAUACUAUUCCAUUCAUUUGAUAUUUAACACAUGUAUGUAAUCCCUUACCAAAUAUCACUUCAUAUAUAGGACAUCUCUAUCUUUAAAUAAAUAACCAGUACUUUCCUGCGAAACUCUCCCUUAAUAUCAUAAAGUUUAUAUUCUGCUUUAAAACACAAACGAAUAAAUCUUAAUUGUAUUUUUUCAUCUUUAAAAAGGUUAUUGACAUCCCAAUCUUUAGUGGGAAGCUUCCAUGUAUCUUCCACUAGUGACAGUCUACUGGCAAAUCCAGAUAUGCAUUGGAAGUAUGUUGAUGUGGAGGACACAGAGACACCUGAUCCAAGAACUGUGGCAUUUCAUUCGGAGUGACAACCUGGCAUUCAGUUGAUAUGGGACCUGAUUAUUCAUAGAAUUGCAGAUUCUAUAAAGCUGUUUUUGAAAGAUUUAGUUUUCUCCAUCUGUGUUGCCACCAACCAUUAUGCUGAGAUGGUCAUAUCUAGGGGGAAGGAUUGCCAUUAUGCUUCCCAAGGAAGUUCGCAGCCUCUCACUGAAGAGGAACUGUACAGAUCUUUGGGCAAUAUCUUAUAUAUGUCUGCAAAGAAGUUCCAGUCGAUAGACAUAUAUUGGUGAACGCAUGCCUCUAUCGGAACAACCCAGCAUCAAGAAUUACGUCUAGAAAUAUGUUUUAAGAGGUUGAAUAUAAGAAGAACAUUUUUGUUAAAUAUAAUGCAAGUACAUUUAAAUUUAGUGAUUGAAAGUAAGUACUUAAACAUUCGUAUACAAUGAACUUGGGGAGGAAAAACGGGCAUUACUUUCUCAUAGCAUUUGAUAUCAUAAUGGUGUUGUUGCUUAGCAACCAAAUAAAUUUGAAUAUAAAAAAUAGAUUAUUUUAGAUUUUAACAGAAAAGAUCUUUGUUUUAAUGUUGCAAUAUUUAUACUAUUUAGUUGAACAUAAUGGCAAACUGUCAUAUUAGAAAAUGAUGAAUAUGUAUAUGAAGUACGAAAUUUCCAUUUUAUGACCUUUGACCUUAAUUCUCUUCAUUAUAUUUUUUGUUAAAAACCUUUUAAAAUGAUUAAGAUCUAGUCAAAUAUUAUAUUUUUAGAAUAAUGCGACAUUUACUAAUCAUCAUGCAAUGUAAUUAUGUUUAAAUUGUGUCGAAUGGAUGUAGAAAGGCAAAUUAUGGUCAAAAUUACACCAUGAGUGUUGUUACUUAGCAACCAAAAAUAUUUGUUUGUCAAUAAAAUUGAUUAAUUUGAU